AUUGAACGCUGGCGGCAUGCCCUACACAUGCAAGUCGAACGGCAGCAUGGAAGAGCUUGCUCUUCUGAUGGCGAGUGGCGAACGGGUGAGUAAAGCAUCGGAACGUACCGUGUAAUGGGGGAUAACGUAGCGAAAGUUACGCUAAUACCGCAUACGACCUGAGGGUGAAAGCAGGGGAUCGCAAGACCUUGCGUUAUACGAGCGGCCGAUGUCAGAUUAGCUAGUUGGUGAGGUAAAGGCUCACCAAGGCGACGAUCUGUAGCGGGUCUGAGAGGAUGAUCCGCCACACUGGGACUGAGACACGGCCCAGACUCCUACGGGAGGCAGCAGUGGGGAAUUUUGGACAAUGGGGGCAACCCUGAUCCAGCCAUGCCGCGUGAGUGAAGAAGGCCUUCGGGUUGUAAAGCUCUUUCGGCCGGGAAGAAAUCGCACAGGCUAAUACUCUGUGUGGAUGACGGUACCGGCAUAAGAAGCACCGGCUAACUACGUGCCAGCCGCCGCAGUAA
rnacentral:rRNA from 1 species